rnacentral:rRNA from 1 species
AUGCCGCAGUCUGGCCGGGCGAUGAGGCGCAUCCGCAAGGAACUGGAGCUGCUCUGGAUCGACCGCCCGGCCUUCUGCCGGCCCGGCCCGGCGCCCGUGACGGACCUGUUCCACUGGGAGGUGGUCAUCGACGGCCCCCACGGCAGCCCCUACGCCGGCGGCACCUUCCCCGUCGGCGUCGCCUACCCCAAGGACUACCCCUUCCACCCCAUCAAGCUCACCUUCAGAACCAAUGUGUACCACCCCAACAUCGGCCCGGAGGGGAGGGUGGCGCUGGACAUCUUCGGGAGCGAGUGGAGGCCUUCUCUCACGAUCAGCACGGCCCUCCUCUCUGUCGUCUCGGUCCUCCACGACCCCCUGCUCGACCGCCCCGUCCGCCGCGACGCCGCCCUGCUGUACAAGCGCGAGCGGGGUCUCUUCGAGCACAAGGCCAGGGACUGGACCCGCAGGUACGCCUCGGCGCCGGUCGCCUCCUUCUAUCCGGCGGGGACGGAGACGUUCGAGGAGGCGGCGGCCAGCGGGGCAGUGGCACGUCGUCGUUCUUGCGGGGCAGGGCAAUGGCGCUCCUUCGCGGCUCGUCUCCCAUGCAUCCAGCCAUGA